rnacentral:lncRNA from 1 species
AUGUGGAUUGCAUGAACCCAGCUCAUGACGCGUAAUGCUGACAUUUUGGCCACUACAUAUGAAAAUUUAGCAUCACUUACCAACACCAUGUGUAUAUUACUAUUAUAUAUACACAUCAUGGCCUCCAUGAUUAUAAUUACAAGUACUCAAAUCAUUUAUUGCAAAAAAGAGGAACAAGGCAUUGUUAAAGGAAAGUUAUAUUUUAGUUGAAGGUCUUAAUUUCCAUUAUUAUACCAUAGUUAAAGAUUAGUUAAGUCUACCCUGCCGAAUUAAGAAAUCAUCAAUGUUAUGUUUUGACUUGUAGUAAUUUGUAAAUGUCUCAUUUAUCUUUUUGGUACUCACAAAGGUCCCGUUGUUUCAUUCACGGUACUAACUGAUUUUUACUUU